rnacentral:rRNA from 1 species
AGAGUUUGAUCAUGGCUCAGGAUGAACGCUGGCGGCGUGCCUAAGGCAUGCAAGUCAAACGGUUCUUGUAGCAAUACAAGGACAGUGGCAGACGGGUGAGUAACACGUGGGAACGCACCCAAAAGUUGGGGAUAACUCCGCGAAAGCGGGGCUAAUACCGAAUGUGGUCGCAAGACUAAAGCCGCAAGGCGCUUUUGGAUCGGCCUGCGUCCCAUCAGCUAGUUGGUAGGGUAAAGGCCUACCAAGGCUAUGACGGGUAGCUGGUGUGAGAGCAUGACCAGCCACAACUGCACUGAGACACGGGCAGUACACCUACGGGUGGCAGCAACCGGGAAUUUUGGACAAUGGACGAAAGUCUGAUCCAGCAACGCCGCGUGAGGGAUGAAGGCCUUUGGGUUGUAAACCUCUUUUGUAUGGGAAGAAAAAAAUGACGGUACCAUACGAAUAAGCUCUCACUUCCGG